UACGUAGGGUGCAAGCGUUAAUCGGAAUUACUGGGCGUAAAGCGUGCGCAGGCGGUUUUGUAAGUCUGUCGUGAAAGCCCCGGGCUCAACCUGGGAAUUGCGAUGGAGACUGCAAGGCUUGAAUCUAGCAGAGGGGGGUAGAAUUCCACGUGUAGCAGUGAAAUGCGUAGAGAUGUGGAGGAACACCGAUGGCGAAGGCAGCCCCCUGGGUCAAGAUUGACGCUCAUGCACGCAAGCGUGGGGAG
rnacentral:rRNA from 1 species